CUGUUAGGCGCUAGGUCCACUACUGCUUCAUCUCUCAGUUUCCAUCUCUCUCACCUCCCACUCAGUCUCUCUCACUCCUACUUUCUCAGACUCUCAUAGUCGCACUCACACCUCUGGCUCUUACUCUCACCUCUCGGCUAUCACUCUCACAGUCAAUUGCCCCCUGUUCACCACAUCGUUUCACACAGACACACAUCGGCAUUGAUGCGCAACUUCACUAUUGUUGCCAUUCACCACUUAGUCUGAGCCCCUAAUAUCCGGCUAGCAACAACGAGGUACGACUCCAAACUCCACACUCCAAUACUCAUCUUAAUUUAUAUGUAUUCAGCCACAGAAUUUUUUGCAAUUUUUAAUUUACUUGAAUUAGUUUAGAUAAAUGAAUUGUGUCACGUUGAAUUCAAUUAGUUUAGGUAAUACGUUUAGCUCAAUAUCUCUAAGGGACUAAUUUAGCUUAGGUCUAGUGUACAAAUUAAACUCCCUCAUUUUCUGACUAGAGUUUUACCUGAAGGAAUAGAGCCAAGCCAAUUAAAGGAUUUUUGCAAGUCGGAUUUAGGGUGCCGUUUGAUAAAACUGAAGUCUGAAAUUUGAAAUAUAAAUUCAUUAAAUUAUUGAAUUGUUAAGUAUUCAAUCUAAUACAUUUGAGUGUAUAUCACAUUCAGUGAUAAGUGAAUAGCUUAUCACUUAAUUUUGGGAGCAAAUUUUGUCUAGAAAAUUUAGUGCCACUUAAUUAAUUCAGAUGUUCAAUUUUUGAUUAUCAAACGGUUUGAAUAUAUUAAAAUCUGAAUCCAUUAAAUUUAAGUUGUGAAUUGAGUUAUUAAACAGGGCCUUAGUCCUGCUGCUACUUAUGUCCUAUGAUAUAAAUUAACCUGAAAUCAAGCCUAUGCGAUAAAUUAAUCUAAAUUUUUUCCUACCACUUAUGUCCUGCUAUUUGAAAUCAAGCCUGCUGCUACUUAUGUCCUGCUGCUACCAAGCCUGUGAUAUAAAUUAAUUUGAAUUUUUCCAUUCUAUUGCUACUUAUGUCCUGCUGCAAAUUGUUAACAAAUCAUAUUUGUCGUUUCAAACAAAACCAAAUGUAUCCAUGUCCAACUCCAAUCAAAUAUUUGUUGCUACUUACAUUGGUUAGAGGUUCUGAUUUCAUUUUCAAUUUUGUUUUUAUACUAGUAAACAUGUUUGGGAAUAUCAAGGAGAGGGAACGUUCAAGUGACUCGCUACAAGAAAAAUAGGGCUUUUGUGACCUGUAAAAUUUUGAGGGUCAUAAAUAUGAAUUCUUUUAUGACUACAAGUUGCAUAUCACAACAAAAAAAAAAGCAAUAAAAUUGCAUCAUUUUACAAUCUUAUGUGACCUGCAACAAUUCCCAUCUAUACGAGUUGCAAAAUGUCCAUAAAACAGUGUCGUAUCUCUUCCUCAUUCUUUUGAAACCCAUAAAACUGUGUCAUAUCUCUUUCUUUUCAUAAAGCUUCAAAUCUCUCUUUUUCUAAUAUUUUCUCCAAACCACUCACUUUAAGUCUGCUUUUUAAUUCAACCUCAACUUUCAUCAAAGAAAUUUCUUCAAGUUUCAACCACAUUUUCGUUAAUUUCUUAUGAAGCUCGCAAUACAACAAAGCAAAUUCUAAAUAUUGGCGAACCACCCAGAAGUCAAACUCUUCAAGUUUCAAAUUUUCGCCUGACCAAUUCCAACUCUUCGAGACCAAACAUGAAACGACUAAGAUUUCCCAGAUACUUCAGCUCGCUUGUUUUGAUUUUUUUUCAAAUUCUCUUUUUUUGUGAUAUUUUUCAAUGUUGUAGUAUUCCAAAUAAAGAAGGAAUUUGGUAUUUCUUUCCCCUAAUUUGUGCUUUUUGUUGAAUGAUUUCUUUUUAUUUGAUGAUCUUGUGUGUUUAGUUGCGCUAUUUAAUUUGAAGGUCUUCAUGGAUAUAUAUAUAUAUAUAUAGAGGCAUGCAAUUGUUUCGAAAUCGAUAGAAUUUGAACUUUACUGCAAGGUUUGCUGUUUAUUGAAGUUAGGGGUUUUUAACAGGAGUAAUACUACUAUGAAAUUCAUAUAGUUUUGUUGUUAUCUCUCAUAUUGUUACUAUAGUCUUAGCAUUUUUCACAGAUCAACUUUAAAUUAUGGAAUUAUUAGUCUACAUGUUCAUAUACGUAACUACUAAUAUGCAAGUUUUAUAUUUUUUUAAAUUUUAGUGAGCAUAUCAAUGUCUUGUUUGCUCUGUUUUGCAUUUUUGAGAAAUUUCUUAUUAUUAUUCUACUCAAAUGACUUUAAUUUUGCUAGUAGUAGUUGAUUGGAUGGAAUGGCUGAAUUAAUUGUUUAAAUCAGUUGGAAUCUAGCCAGGGAAAUGCUUUCCCUACCUCUUUUCCCUUUUCCAGUUUAUGUUAAUUGUGCUGAGGCCUUCUCUCUGCAUAAUGAAAUUUAGUAGUUGUCUAUGAUGAAUGUAGCUCAGCACUAACUUGGUUAAAUAAAAAAAAAUCUGUGUAAACAUUGACGAUGCCAAUGACAACACAAGUUAUAGUGUCAAAUUGGUUAGAAACUCUCCUUUGCAUAUGAUUUUUUUGUAGGAUUUGAGCUUUUAGUUACUUAUUAGUGUUGUUUGGAUGACACUUAGAAAAAUGAGAUAUGGUUAGUAUUUUGUUGGUUUGAAGGAAAGAAAAUAAAAUUAUUUUAACAUAUCAAAGUUUAGUAGAUAUGCAUAAUUUAGGUAUGGAUCUUCCGUCCUUACGUUUCAUAGAUGAUUCCCAUUGAAUUCUUUUUGAUGCUUAUAGGUAUGUCACCCAGUUCUCUUAUAUAUUCAUGCUCAUCACCAGGAAAGUUUGAAUAUGUGGGGAACAACGAGAUUGUGUUCUUCAAUCUGGCAACAUAGAGAGUUUUAACAAUUCAGCUUCUAGUAAUAUGCUUAAUCACCAAUGGUUUUGAAAUCUUGCUAUAUGAUAAUCUUAUUUUAUAUUAGUAUCAAUUUACCUUCAUUUUUGGAUUGAACAG
rnacentral:lncRNA from 1 species